rnacentral:rRNA from 1 species
UACGUAGGGGGCCAGCGUUGUCCGGAAUCAUUGGGCGUAAAGCGCGCGUAGGCGGCCAGAUAAGUCCGGUGUGAAAGUCAAAGGCUCAACCUUUGAAUGCCGCUGGAAACUGUCUGGCUUGAGUCCGGAAGGGGCGAGUGGAAUUCCUGGUGUAGCGGUGAAAUGCGCAGAUAUCAGGAGGAACACCAAUGGCGAAGGCAGCUCGCUGGAACGGUACUGACACUGAGGCGCGGAAAGCGUGGGGAGCAAACAGG